rfam:Halobacterium sp. DL1, complete genome.
GGCCGCCGAGGAUAGAGUAAGCCGCGGUGACGCGGCUGGUCGAGAAAUCCGAC